rnacentral:lncRNA from 1 species
AGCGGCCGCAGUGGCCGCAGGGUGCCCGGUCGCCGCCCCCUCCGCCCGCAGUUCCCGGGGCCUGAGCCUCCGCGAGCCGGGAUAGGACCGAGUGGCGGGGCUCGGAGCCGCCUCGGCAGGCGCGGCCCUUCCCUCCCUGCAGGGAUUCCCGUCCUCUCGGGUCCCGCUGCCCCGCCCCGACUGCGGACGGAGUGGAUGGGGUGCACCGCCUCAGACCCGCUUCCUGGGGUCGCGAACUUCCCGGGCCCCAAGGUCCCUGCCACCUCUUCCAAAUGCUGGAGGACUACGCACUUCUACAAGUGAGAAUGUUCAUCUAUAAUUGUUCAUCAGACCAGGCUAAAUAAGGAUAAUGGCACAAAAGAAAAAUAAGACCCAAAUGGAGACAUCAACCACAGACACCUGGCAAAAAAUCUUCUGCUAAAACCUGAUUUUGUGACAAAAUGCUGCCUUAUCUUGCUGAUGAUUUCAUGGACAAUAAAAGGAAAGAAGGUUAGAAAAUAUCCAGAAAAAAUUGUGAAUAAAUCAGAGGAGAAAUGGACAUUACCCAGAUGUCAGGCUUGAAGCUUCAUAAAGUAACUGAAGAGAAUUUGGAAAACAUUGACCCUUGAACAACACAGGUUGAACUGUGUGAGUACACUGAAAAAUGGAUUUUAUUCCACCUCUGCCACCCCUGAGACAACAAGACCAACCCCGUUGUCUUCCUCCUCAUCAGCCUAUUCAAUAUAAGGACAACCAGGAUGAAGACCUUUAUUAUGAUCCACUUCCACUUACUGAACAAGGUUCUUCUUGGAAUCUUCCUAAUGUUUCAGGCAUAACUGUUCACCUCAUGGGAGAGGUUCCAAGAUGGCCAAAUAGGAACAGCUCCAGUCUACAGCUCCCAGCGUGAGUGACACAGAAGAUGGG